rnacentral:rRNA from 1 species
AUGUCCCUCAAAGAAUCAUCCAGAGAGCACCCGCCGGUAUUUCCAUCCCCUGCCGGCGCUGGAAUUUCCAUCCACGGCGAGGAGAGAUUGAGAAUCUUGGCCGCGGAUCAGAGCCUGCCGCCGUGCGCCGCGCUCCGGAGUCCCGUCGCCGUGCGCCGGUUCCAGCCUCCCGCCAGAGCCAGCAAGAAGCGCAAGAAGCGCCUGGACCGCGAGUUCUUGGUCGGCAUGGAGUCGACGACGUCGUCGGCAGGGCCCGCCACGGGCGUCAACUCGCUGGACGAGGCCGUCGCCGGGGACCGCCGGCCGCGAGGGGAGGAUGUUGGCCGCGAGGGGACGAUGUUGGCCGCGCUCCGCCAGGUCCAGUCUCCGGCGGCCAGAGCAAGCAAGAAGCGCAAGAAUCGCAAGAAGCGUGCGUCGUCGGCGGCGGCAUGGCCCGCCACGGACCGCCACUCGUGGGGCUCGAUCGCCGUCGUCAACCCCAGGCUGCAGGACGUGCUGAGCCACCCGGGCGCCUCCGCCCCGGAGCGCAUCUACGGGAGGCGGCUGACGAGGACGGACCGGAAGCUCCACCACAACCGGCUACUCAUGUCGUGCAAGAUCUGGCGGGCGCGGGGCGAGACGUUCCCGCUGGAGCGUGUCCUGACGGACGCGGAGCAGGCGGCCGUGAAGGUGGCGGAGGGCCUGCAGGUGCAGGCCUACGACCGCCGCGGCAGGCACUACGACCUCGUCUGCAAGAAGCUGCGCUCCAACAACGCCUACCGCCUCGUCCGCGGCUGGGGCACCUUCCUGAGAGCGAACGGCCUCGUCGUGGGGAAGAACGACGGGGCCGAGGUCCUGUCGCCGGUCAUCAGGUUCGAUCUGCGGACGUUCCGCUCGCCGGCGCUCAAGAUGGGCGUCGACGGACAGCAGGGCGGCCCGCUCGGGCUCCUCAUCAUGCACUACCCCGAGGGAGACGACCCGGCCACGCACGCCGAGGCGGGCAUCGCGGAGAUCCUGGCGGCGGCGGAGAACGCAGUGGCCAUGCCAUUGCCGGGCGGGGCCGCCGCGGUGGCGGUGCCCGUCCUGGAGGACGCCGUUGAUGCCCCACACGAGGAGGACGCCGUUGAUGCCCCACACGAGGAGGGCGCCGUUGAUGCCCCAGAGGAGGAGAACGCGGUGGAGGCUGAUGAUGGCGGCCGCCUUGAUGUGAUUAUCUUCAGGCUAGAGGAGGCGCGCUCAACACUUGCAAUGCAAAUAUAG